rnacentral:misc_RNA from 1 species
AAGUCGUAACAAGGUUUCCGUAGGUGAACCUGCGGAAGGAUCAUUAUUGAAUGAAACUGGGUGAGGUUGUAGCUGGCUCUAGCAAUGGAGCAUGUGCACACUUUGCUCAUCAUCCAAAUAUUACACCUCUGUGCACUUCUCAUAGGUAAAGCUUUGGUCAUGAAACAUGACUGGUGUUUUGCCUGUGUGUUUUACAUACACCUCUGUUUGUUUAAAGAAUGUCUUUUUCUGUGCAUGAAUUGCAUACAAUACAACUUUCAGCAACGGAUCUCUUGGCUCUC